rnacentral:lncRNA from 1 species
CCUAAGUGAACUCACGAUUCUUGCAUGGCUGGAUGGCAAUAGGCUCAGCAAUGCUCACUGCCAAGUCUCGUGCCCACCUUUGCUUGGGGGUCAAAGAUCAGCUGGCACCCUGAGCGGCGCUGCCUAAACUCAGCCAGACCCCACAAGCUAGUGAUCAGGCCCCUGCUAAUUCUCUCUAAGCAGAACGGAUUUAAGAAAUAAAUAUUUACAGACAAGAAAUGGAUUCACUCCUUCCAGAGAGAGACCACUGCUCUUAGCUGACCUGAAAUGCAGCAAGCAGGGCUCAGCCCUGGGCUGCUCCUCUCCUCUCUCGAUCCUCCAGCCCUGGGGCUCUGAGGUGACUGUCUGUUUGGGGAGUUAUCAAAUCCAGGUUGGACCCCUUGGAAGCU